CCCUGGUGACUUCUGUCUUCCAGAUCCUUUAUGGGUCUUGAACUGUGGCAAGCAAGAGAGUCCUGGCACUUGACUGAGAGGGCAUGACUCGAAGCAUAGCCCAAAGGGCUUUGAUCAACUCUGAUAAGUGAGACCUGGAGGAUGGUUGUUGGUGUACAGUAAAGUAUGAAGAGGUACCUUCUCAACAGAGUAGGAGUGGCACAUGUCAGUAUGUCCAAGGCAGGCUCUUUCUUGACACAAAUAAUUCACCCUUGUAACAUAUGUGGCCUCAUUUGGAAUGACCUUUUGGACAUGGAGGAACACCAAGGAACAUACCUUGUACUUAGAACUUAUUCAUGCAGGGCAUGUGAGAAACAAAUCUGGUUUUGUGAAAACUUUGGACAGAACCUAAAGUAUCAUACUGUAGAGAAUUCUUCACAAAAAGAUGACAAUAAAUCCUUGUUAAUUAAGAA